GCUGAGUGUGGUGGUGCAUGCCUGUAGUCCCAGCUACUUGGGAGGCUGAGGUGGGAGAAUCACUUGAGCCCAGGAGGUUGAGGCUGCAGUGAGUCAUGAUCAUGCCACUGCACUCCAGCCUGGGUGACAGAGUGAGACCCUGUCUCAA
rnacentral:SRP_RNA from 1 species